UAGGGAAUCUUCGGCAAUGGACGAAAGUCUGACCGAGCAACGCGGCGUGAGUGAAGAAGGUUUUCGGAUCGUAAAACUCUGUUGUUAGAGAAGAACAAGGACGUUAGUAACUGAACGUCCCCUGACGGUAUCUAACCAGAAAGCCACGGCUAACUACGUGCCAGCAGCCGCGGUAAUACGUAGGUGGCAAGCGUUGUCCGGAUUUAUUGGGCGUAAAGCGAGCGCAGGCGGUUUCUUAAGUCUGAUGUGAAAGCCCCCGGCUCAACCGGGGAGGGUCAUUGGAAACUGGGAGACUUGAGUGCAGAAGAGGAGAGUGGAAUUCCAUGUGUAGCGGUGAAAUGCGUAGAUAUAUGGAGGAACACCAGUGGCGAAGGCGGCGCUCUGGUCUGUAACUGACGCUGAGGCUCGAAAGCGUGGGGAGCAAACAGG
rnacentral:rRNA from 1 species